GUUGUAUAGUCAAGUAAUUAAGUGCAUGUGGUGGAUGCCUUGGCAGUCAGAGGCGAUGAAAGACGUGAUAGCCUGCGAAAAGCUCCGGGGAGGCGGCAAAUAUCCUUUGAUCCGGAGAUGUCUGAAUGGGGGAACCCACCUACUUUAAGGUAGGUAUUGCAACAUGAAUACAUAGUGUUGCAAGGCGAACGAGGGGAAGUGAAACAUCUCAGUACCCUUAGGAAAAGAAAUCAAUUGAGAUUCCCUCAGUAGCGGCGAGCGAACGGGGAUCAGCCCAUUAAGUUAUGUGUGUUUUAGUGGAACGCUCUGGGAAGUGCGAACGUAGAGGGUGAUAUUCCCGUACACGAAAGGGCACACAUAAUGAUGACGAGUAGGGCGAGGCACGUGAAACCUUGUCUGAAUAUGGGGGGACCAUCCUCCAAGGCUAAAUACUCCUGACUGACCGAUAGUGAACCAGUACCGUGAGGGAAAGGCGAAAAGAACCCCUGUGAGGGGAGUGAAAUAGAUCCUGAAACCGCAUGCAUACAAGCAGUGGGAGCACCUUCGUGGUGUGACUGCGUACCUUUUGUAUAAUGGGUCAGCGACUUAUAUUCAGUAGCGAGGUUAACCGUAUAGGGGAGCCGUAGAGAAAUCGAGUCUUAAUAGGGCGUUUAGUUGCUGGGUAUAGACCCGAAACCAGGCGAUCUAUCCAUGAGCAGGUUGAAGGUUGGGUAACACUAACUGGAGGACCGAACCCACUGUCGUUGAAAAGCCAGGGGAUGACUUGUGGAUAGGGGUGAAAGGCUAAUCAAGCCUGGUGAUAGCUGGUUCUCCCCGAAAGCUAUUUAGGUAGCGCCUCGGACGAAUACCAUAGGGGGUAGAGCACUGUUUCGGCUAGGGGGUCAUCCCGACUUACCAAACCGAUGCAAACUCCGAAUACCUAUGAGUACUAUCCGGGAGACAGACUGCGGGUGCUAACGUCCGUAGUCAAGAGGAAAACAAUCCAGACCGCCAGCUAAGGCCCCAAAAUCAUAGUUAAGUGGGAAACGAUGUGGGAAGGCAUAGACAGCUAGGAGGUUGGCUUAGAAGCAGCCACCCUUUAAAGAAAGCGUAAUAGCUCACUAGUCGAGUCGGCCUGCGCGGAAGAUGUAACGGGGCUAAAACUAUGUGCCGAAGCUGCGGAUGUAUACUUUGUAUACGUGGUAGGGGAGCGUUCUGUAAGCCGAUGAAGGUGUGUUGAGAAGCAUGCUGGAGGUAUCAGAAGUGCGAAUGCUGACGUGAGUAACGACAAAACGGGUGAAAAACCCGUUCGCCGAAAGACCAAGGGUUCCAGUCCAACGUUAAUCGGGGCUGGGUGAGUCGACCCCUAAGGCGAGGCCGAAAGGCGUAGUCGAUGGGAAAAUGGUUAAUAUUCCAUUACUUCUGUGUAAUGCGAUGAGAGGACGGAGAAGGCUAAAUCAGCCUGGCGUUGGUUGUCCAGGUGAAAGGAUGUAGGCAUGUAUCUUAGGCAAAUCCGGGGUACUCUAUGCUGAGAUCUGAUAGCAAGCUGUACUUGUACAGCGAAGUGGUUGAUGCCAUGCUUCCAGGAAAAGUCUCUAAGCUUCAGUUACACAGGAAUCGUACCCGAAACCGACACAGGUGGUCAGGUCGAGUAGACCAAGGCGCUUGAGAGAACUCUGCUGAAGGAACUAGGCAAAAUGGUACCGUAACUUCGGGAGAAGGUACGCUGUUGUUGGUGAUGGAACUCGCUUCCUGAGCUGACGACAGCCGCAGAAACCAGGCCGCUGCAACUGUUUAUUAAAAACAUAGCACUCUGCAAACACGAAAGUGGACGUAUAGGGUGUGAUGCCUGCCCGGUGCUGGAAGGUUAAUUGAUGGGGUUAGCGUAAGCGAAGCUCUUGAUCGAAGCCCCAGUAAACGGCGGCCGUAACUAUAACGGUCCUAAGGUAGCGAAAUUCCUUGUCGGGUAAGUUCCGACCUGCACGAAUGGCAUAAUGAUGGCGGCGCUGUCUCCAGCAGAGGCUCAGUGAAAUCGAAAUCGCUGUGAAGAUGCAGUGUACCCGCGGCUAGACGGAAAGACCCCGUGAACCUUUACUGCAGCUUGACACUGAACUUUGACCUUACUUGUGUAGGAUAGGUGGGAGGCUUUGAAGCUGGAACGCUAGUUCCAGUGGAGCCGUCCUUGAAAUACCACCCUGGUAAUGUUGAGGUUCUAACUCUGUCCCGUGAUCCGGGACGAGGACCGUGUCUGGUGGGUAGUUUGACUGGGGCGGUCUCCUCCUAAAGAGUAACGGAGGAGUACGAAGGUGCGCUCAGCGUGGUCGGAAAUCACGCGUAGAGUAUAAAGGCAAAAGCGCGCUUAACUGCGAGACCCACAAGUCGAGCAGGUACGAAAGUAGGUCUUAGUGAUCCGGUGGUUCUGUAUGGAAGGGCCAUCGCUCAACGGAUAAAAGGUACUCUGGGGAUAACAGGCUGAUACCGCCCAAGAGUUCAUAUCGACGGCGGUGUUUGGCACCUCGAUGUCGGCUCAUCUCAUCCUGGGGCUGAAGCAGGUCCCAAGGGUAUGGCUGUUCGCCAUUUAAAGAGGUACGCGAGCUGGGUUUAGAACGUCGUGAGACAGUUCGGUCCCUAUCUACCGUGGGCGCUGGAAAUUUGAGAGGAUCUGCUCCUAGUACGAGAGGACCAGAGUGGACGAACCUCUGGUGUACCGGUUGUGACGCCAGUCGCAUCGCCGGGUAGCUAUGUUCGGAAGGGAUAACCGCUGAAAGCAUCUAAGCGGGAAGCCUACCUCAAGAUAAGAUUUCCCUAGGACUUUAUGUCCUCUAAAGAGCCGUUCGAGACUAGGACGUUGAUAGGUUGGAUGUGGAAGCAUAGUGAUAUGUGAAGCUGACCAAUACUAAUUGCUCGUGAGGCUUGACUAUACAAC
rnacentral:rRNA from 1 species